GUGGGAAUCAAACAGGAUUAGAUACCCUGGUAGUCCACACGGUAAACGAUGAACACUAACUGUAUGCGGGUGACUGCAUGCGGUCAAGCGAAAGCGAUAAGUAUUCCACCUGGGGAGUACGCCGGCAACGGUGAAACUCAAAGGAAUUGACGGGGGCCCGCACAAGCGGAGGAACAUGUGGUUUAAUUCGAUGAUACGCGAGGAACCUUACCCGGGUUCGAACGGCUUCCGAAUAGAUGUGAAAGCAUUUAGCUAGCAAUAGCGGGAGUCGAGGUGCUGCAUGGUUGUCGUCAGCUCGUGCCGUGAGGUGUCGGCUUAAGUGCCAUAACGAGCGCAACCCUUACCGGGAGUUACCAACGGAUAAAGCCGGGGACUCUGCCGGGACUGCCGCCGUAAGGUGUGAGGAAGGUGGGGAUGACGUCAAAUCAGCACGGCCCUUACGUCCGGGGCGACACACGUGUUACAAUGGGAGGGACAAAGGGCAGCUACCGUGCAAGCGGAUGCGAAUCUCCAAACCCUCUCCCAGUUCGGAUAGGAGUCUGCAACCCGACUCCUUGAAGCUGGAUUCGCUAGUAAUCGCGCAUCAGCCAUGGCGCGGUGAAUACGUUCCCGGGCCUUGUACACACCGCCCGUCAAGCCAUGGAAGCCGGGGGUACCUGAAGUACGCAACCGCAAGGGACGUCCGAGGGUAAAACUGGUAACUGGGGCUAAGUCGUAACAAGGUAACCGUAA
rnacentral:rRNA from 1 species